CCGUGCUCCACCUGUUUGCCCUGCUUCUUAUGGAAGACUAGUGAUUUUGUUGUUCUGUAGUUCAUCUCACGACAACAAGUCACAGUCUGCCUUAUGGGGCCUGGCCUCUGCACCGCGAUGCCCU
rnacentral:pre_miRNA from 11 species